rnacentral:rRNA from 1 species
CCUACGGGAGGCAGCAGUGAGGAAUAUUGGUCAAUGGACGAGAGUCUGAACCAGCCAAGUAGCGUGAAGGAUGACUGCCCUAUGGGUUGUAAACUUCUUUUAUAUGGGAAUAAAAUGGUCCACGUGUGGGAUUUUGUAUGUACCAUAUGAAUAAGGAUCGGCUAACUCCGUGCCAGCAGCCGCGGUAAUACGGAGGAUCCGAGCGUUAUCCGGAUUUAUUGGGUUUAAAGGGAGCGUAGGUGGAUUGUUAAGUCAGUUGUGAAAGUUUCGGGCUCAACCGUGAAAUUGCAGUUGAAACUGUCAGUCUGGAGAACAGUAGAGGUGGGCGGAAUGUGUGGUGUAGCGGUGAAAUGCUUAGAUAUCAUGAAGAACUCCGAUUGCGAAGGCAGUUCACUGGACUGUAACUGACACUGAGGCACGAAAGUGUGGGUAGCAAACAGGAUUAGAUACCCCUGUAGUC